rnacentral:ncRNA from 1 species
AAUAAAGUUUUAUUUUAGCUUUAUAAUUUGCUAUUAAUUUAAUUUAUAUGUAAAUUUUUGUGUGAAUUAGUAUUUAUUUUAAUAAUUAAUAUUAUAUAAUAUAUUCGCAGUAAUUAAUAUUAUUAAUCAAAGAAAUUUGGAAAUAGUAAUAUUAAAAAGUAUUGGCUAAAUUUGUGCCAGCAGCCGCGGUUAUACGAAUUAUACAAGUAAAUUUUAUUUAGAAAAAGUUAAAUUAUUUUAGAUUAAAAUAAAAAUAAAUUUAUUAGGUGAAAUUUUUAAUUUAUUUAAAUUUUAUUAAUUAUGAUUGAAACUUAAAAAUUUUGUUUAUAAACUAGGAUUAGAUACCCUAUUAUUUAAAAUGUAAAUAAUUAUUCUAAGGUAGUAGUAGUUAUGUUCUUGAAACUUAAAAAAUUUGGCGGUAUUUUAGUCUAUUCAGAGGAACUUGUUCUGUAAUCGAUAAUCCACGAUGGACCUAACUUAAAUUUGUAACAGUUUAUAUACCGUCGUUAUUAGAAUAUUUUAUAAGGAUGUUAAUUUUUAAAAUUUUUUAUAGGAAAAUAUAUCAGAUCAAGGUGUAGCUUAUGUUUAAGUAGAAAUGGGUUACAAUAAAUUUAUUUAAACGGAUAUAAAUUUGAAAUAUUUAUUAAAGGUGGAUUUGAUAGUAAAAUUAUAAAGAUUAAUAUUUUGAUUUUAGCUCUAAAAUAUGUACACAUCGCCCGUCACUCUUAUUUUAAGGUAAGAUAAGUCGUAACAUAGUAGAUGUAUUGGAAAAUGUAUCUAGAAUGC